UAAGGAAUAUUGGUCAAUGGAGGCAACUCUGAACCAGCCAUGCCGCGUGCAGGAUGAAGGGGCUCUGCCUUGUAAACUUCUUUUGAAUGGGACGAAAAAGCCUCACUUGUGAGGAACUGACGGUACCAUUAGAAUAAGCACCGGCUAACUCCGUGCCAGCAGCCGCGGUAAUACGGAGGGUGCGAGCGUUAUCCGGAAUCACUGGGUUUAAAGGGUGCGUAGGCGGCUGUAUAAGUCAGUGGUGAAAGGCUGUGGCUUAACCAUGGGAUUGCCAUUGAUACUGUACGGCUUGAAUUAGGAUGAGGUUGGCGGAAUGUGACAUGUAGCGGUGAAAUGCUUAGAUAUGUCAUGGAACAUCGAUUGCGAAGGCAGCUGACUGGACCUUAAUUGACGCUGAGGCACGAAAGCGUGGGGAGCGAACAGGAUUAGAUACCCACGUAGUCCCUGAGCGGGCUGGCAAGGCGCAU
rnacentral:rRNA from 1 species